rnacentral:rRNA from 1 species
AUACGUAGGUGGCAAGCGUUGUCCGGAUUUACUGGGUGUAAAGGGGGCGCAGGCGGGAAGCUAAGUUGGAUGUGAAAUACCGGGGCUCAACUCCGGAGCUGCAUCCAAAACUGGUUUUCUUGAGUGGGGUAGAGGCAGGCGGAAUUCCGAGUGUAGCGGUGAAAUGCGUAGAUAUUCGGAGGAACACCAGUGGCGAAGGCGGCUUGCUGGGCUCUAACUGACGCUGAGGCCGGAAAGCGUGGGGAGCAAACAGGAUUAGAUGCCCUGGUAGUCCACGCCGUAAACGAUGAUUACUAGGUGUGGGGGGUCUGACCCCUUCCGUGCCGCAGUUAACGCAAUAAGUAAUCCACCUGGGGAGUACGGCCGCAAGGCUGAAACUCAAAGGAAUUGACGGGG